UACGUAGGGCGCAAGCGUUGUCCGGAAUUAUUGGGCGUAAAGAGCUCGUAGGUGGUGUGUCGCGUCUGCCGUGAAAGCCCGGGGCUUAACUCCGGGUCUGCGGUGGAUACGGGCAGACUAGAGGCAGGUAGGGGAGAACGGAAUUCCCGGUGUAGCGGUGAAAUGCGCAGAUAGUCGGAGGAACACCGGUGGCGAAGGCGGUUCUCUGGGCCUGUACUGACGCUGAGGAGCGAAAGCGUGGGGGAGCGAACAGG
rnacentral:rRNA from 1 species